rnacentral:rRNA from 1 species
UACGGAGGGGGCAAGCGUUGUCCGGACUUACUGGGCGUAAAGCGUGCGCAGGCGGUUUUGUAAGCCAGAUGUGAAAUCCCCGGGCUUAACCUGGGAAUGGCAUUUGGGACUGCAAGGCUGGAGUGUGGCAGAGGAGACUGGAAUUCCUGGUGUAGCAGUGAAAUGCGUAGAUAUCAGGAGGAAUACCGAUGGCGAAGGCAGGUCUCUGGGCUGACACUGACGCUCAUGCACGAAAGCGUGGGGAGCAAACAGG